UGUGUCAAAAUAAUUGUUUUAUGUUGCAAGAGUUGAGAAGCUUAAUCUUUAAUUAAAUACGUAAUUUACUUUUGCUUUUCAAUUUAUUUAAGAUAUGGUAAGAGGACCAGUUCCUUAACCCACUUAUUUUUCCUCAGCUUUUUAAUCCAAUUUUUUGGCCCCAAAAAGCUUUAAACCAGCCCACACCCUUUAUUCCACUAUUUUCCUAAUCCCCUUUACCUCACGCGCACACACACUCUUUUUGUUUCCUAGAAAGAACACACAGAACUCCCCUACGCGCCCCCUAUCCCACCUCUUUCUUCUUAUUCUUCCUCAGCGAAAGCAACCAAACGAACCCAACUUUAAAUCCUCAGAUUCACCGCCUCAAUUUUCCUCUUUUCUCCUUCAAUUCGUACUCUCCGCGUGCAUAGCACUAGCUCGAAGACGCCUCAAGCUUCCAACAUUGCUUUCCUCAACGGGAUUUUGAAAAUUCUCAAAAUCCCACAUCGAAAAUCUUUCCAAAUUUCGUGAGAUUUUAGUAACUAUAAAUACCCUCUCCCUAUAACUGUUCAAGGGGGGGCAUUUUGAGACCUGAGAGUACCCCUAAAAAAGUUUGGGAAUUCUCAACUCAAUAGUUUAAAAAUCUUGUGGUUGUUCGAGUUGAGGAGGUGGGAAUCGUCUCUGUCAAACUCGUUGUUCGGUUCGCUGCCCAGAACCAGGUAAUAUUCUUGCGCUUUCUUUAGUCUUUUCUUUCUGUUGCAUUGUGGAAUUGUUGUUUGUUUUAGUAUUGUUAAUUAUCUUUUAGAUCCAAUCUAUUUAGUGUGAUGUUUAUGACAGUAAAAGUUUGCAUGAUCUUGUUAACUUAGUUAAGUCAAUUUUGAAUGAAUGUAUUAAGUUUGUUGCUCUGUUGAUGGCUGUUAAUUUAGAGAUGUGAAUGUGAUUCUUUACUUAGUCGCAUUCAUAUAUCUAUAUAUGUGCUUUAGUUAUUAUUAUUCUUAUUCGACUUUGUAAUCCAUGUUAAUAUAGUUGUCGAUUUCUCUUCGUUGCCUUCUUAAAGAUAUAAGUUGUAUAUUCUUCCACUUCGAGUUUGUUUGGACUAAAAUGUUACGUCAAGCUUCGCUGCUCCUAAGAUGUGUUUUCGGCUAAAUUCUUGUAUAGUUUGAAACAAACAAAUUACUGUUACUCCGACUAGCUUUUCGUUAUUAUCGUAGCAUGUUUGUUCGAAUCUCAGUUUUGGUGCAGUUGACUGUCGUUCAUGUGAUUAAAAGUUAUUCUAGCUUAAUUUGAAGCUCUUUUCCUUUCUUUCUCUCAAGUAUGGACCUGUUUGUUACUUCCAAACAAAAUAGAUAUAGCUGGGUCAUAUAGUCAUUUGAUUUAAGUGUAUAAUUUUCUAAGGUAUGUUCUAUUAUGUGUGAAAUUUGAUUAUUACCAUUGAAUUCUUGGUUCCUUUUUCCUGCAUCUAGUCGCCCGUUUAUGAAGUUGGAAUAUGAGUUCUCGAUUACCUGUAUGCUUUCGUUCAUAACCUGUCGUAAUAGCUACCUGUAGUUUUCUUAAGAACUAGGAAUGAUUUACAUUUGUUCUUAUGUCUGAGAAUUCAUAUUACUUUUUCCUUCCAACAGUUUUAUUGUUUCCAGGAGCGUAUUUACCUGGCCAAAGGUCUCUUGUGUGCACUAAAUUUUUGACUUAAUCUUUUGUUUCUCUGUUUGCUGCUGUGAUUUUUUAAAAAAAUUUACAGCUAAUUGUUAAAUGGUCCCAUUCCGUGUCUACUUGCUGAUUUUUUAUUAUUUUUUAUUUUUUCCUUAAAUCCGUGACUAAAAGUUAUGUUUAUGUCUUUUCUUAGUUUGAACGUGGAAAAAAUAUGUUAUGAUUGGAAAUUAAUUGCCCUCUCUGUUAGCUUUCUCUUGUAUUGGUCAGGGUUUGGCAUAUUUCUUAUCUUUAAAUUAAUUUGAUUAUUUUGCUCAAGCUAUACAUAUAGUGUCAUUGUUUUAUUUUGUUUUUGUGUCAUCUUGUAUCAGAUUCUGUCCAUUGCUAAUAAAUGUUGCAUGAUUUCCUUCCGUCAAAUUGUUAAAUUUCAAUUUCUAUGUUUGUCUUUUAUUUUAUUUAUUUCUAUGUUGGUUUAAUUAUUAUGAGCUCUUGAAGUACUUUCCUUUAGUAUUUUCGUAUGUUAGAUUAGAAUGUUAAUCUCCCUUUUUCUUUCUUUUCUUGCGCAUGAACUCUCUCCGAAUGAGACCAAUGGACUCCUCUCUUUUGCAUUUUUCCCUCUUGAGUCAACCUCCGUCGGAGUUGUGAAAGGGAAGCUAAUAUUAAUGGGUUAAUACUCAAAUCAGUGGCAGCAGCAAUUUGCAGCAGUAGCAGCAGCCCCCAAAGGGCUAAAAAAUUGAAGUUUUGGACUUAAAGUCCCGUAUAAUAAAAAUCAGCAGCAGCGAUAGUAUUCCAAAGGGCUGGAGAUCUGAAAAAUUGGACUUGAAAAGUCUCAAUUUGAGUGCAGUUGUGGCGGCAGAACCAGAAAGGGGCCAAAGUGCCCUUUUUAUCCAGUUCUUUAUUUUAUUUAGUUAUCUACUCUAUUUGUGAAUAUAUGUUGAUGAUCGCUAACUUCUAACAUUUAUUUUAUCUAACUUAGAUGAAUCCUUGAAAGUUUUUAAGUAACUCUUCUAUUUCGUUA